rnacentral:rRNA from 1 species
AUUGAACGCUAGCGGGAUGCCUUACACAUGCAAGUCGAACGGAGUGGCGAACGGGUGAGUAAUGUAUCGGAACGUGCCCAGUAGCGGGGGAUAACUACGCGAACGCGUAGCUAAUACCGCAUACUAUUGGAGCGGCCGAGAUCGGAUUAGCUGGUUGGUGGGGUAACGGCUCACCAAGGCCACGAACCGUAGCUGGUUUGAGUGGACGACCAGCCACACAGGGACUGAGACACGGCCCAGACUCCGACGGAAGGCAGCAGUGGGGAAUUUUGGACAAUGGGGGAAGACCUGAUCCAGCCAGCCCGCGUGUGCGAUAAAGGCCUUCGGUUUGUAAAGCACUGUUGGCAGGAAAGCGGUACCUGCAGAAUAAGCACCGGCUAACUACGUGCCAGCAGCCGCUGUAAUAC